AAAUGUUACAGCUCAUUCAGAAUUUAUCUAGCAGGAUUUUCCAGUUGAUACUAGAAAACCCCCA